UUAUUUCCCCAAUACAAUUUUUUUUUUCUACUGUACAGCGUGGUGAUCCAGUUACACAUACAUGUAUACAUUCUUUUUUCUCCCAUUAUCAUGCUCCAUCAUAAGUGACUAGGCAUAGGCCACGCUUCACGGAGGAGCCUCUGAGACAUUUGGAAGUGCCAGCAGCCAAGGCCAAAUCAGUGAAACCACACCCUCCAGGGGAACGAGCCUGGGAGGGCUCUCCAGGACCCACCAGGUGUAGCAGCCAUGCAUGAGGUCAUAGAUGUUUUCCCCUUGCUUUCAGCCUCAUCCGCUGUCUUGCUUCUGUCUCUAGCUCCCCUGCCCCAUCCCUGCAGGCCACCCUCAGGGUUGAGCCCGUGUGAUACCGGAUAUGGUCCUGCUCUCCUGGCUCACUCUCUGUCACCCCAAAUUCCAUGCUUUUUUGUCUCCUCCCUAGUGCUGCACCAGGCAGAAUACCAUCCAUGAAUCAGGUGUGGCAAAGUCCAGCAUUCUUGCAGGCUGCCAUCUCAGUCUUGUCAUCUCUCACCUGAUACCUCCUGGGAGACCUGUCAGUGGAAGGAGAGGAGCAGAGGGUGGGGGACAGGCCAGGCCCACGGGAGACUCCCCCCAUCAAGGGCCAAGGUACCCAGUACAUGGAUGCUCUCAAGUGAGGGGAACCCAGGGCUGAGGUUUAGGGAUAUGGACGCUCUGGUAGUCAGAAGCUGUGCUUGGUGAUACCUGUGCCCCUGCAGACACACAGUGAUAGUUGGAUUCGGCUACAGCAGUGAAGGAUGUCCCACUGACUGGGGUACAGCUGGGCUCUGAGACCUGCACAAACACCCCUCGGUUCCUGGAACCAGGCCUGCCAUUGUGGAAGUGCUGCUCUUGCACAAAGGAAGAACCAUUCCCCUGCUUAGUCCUAUGAGGACAGAGGGUCGUGGGAGGCUGCCUUGUAUCCUCAAGUGAUAAGUGGGAUGCCCAGCACAGGCAGGUCACAGGAGAAGCUUGAUAUCCUUUGAUAAAGACACUGCAAAAGGUAGACUCCAGGUACUCUGGAUGUUUCCAGCUAGAAAGGGACAAUUGUGCAGAUGAGUAUAGACAUGGGAAGGAUGUUCCACUGACAUGUGCCUGGGGACACGUCAGCCUGGAGUGCCGCAUGGAACACAGACCAAGUCUGAUCCCAGGAGAUUGUGGCGUAUGGGCAGGGGGUGGGCAGGUGUCUUGGGAGCGGAGAGAAAGAGGACACGACAGCUGUUCUGGGGGAAAUGUCCUCAUAACUGGAGUCAACACCAUUCAAACUGAAAAGCAUUGUCUCAGUCCCAGAACAGGAAGCAGGGAAAGCCAUUAUUCAGAUGUGUGAAGAGAGGGCAGUGUUUGCGAUUUGUGUUAAGAGUGAGCUGCCAGUGUGGUGCAGGGGGGAUGCGAGGGCACUCAGGGAGGGGGAUAUGAGCGGACAGGUGGCCCCCAGUGGAUAGCCGGGCAGUCCUCUGCCUGGGUGCUCAACCCCCCAGGGGGCCCAGUACAGACCUCAGAGGGGCCGGCCUAAUGAGGAAGAUGCAGUGGAGAGAGGGUUUCUGCAAAUGUCAUAACUGGGGAGAAAUCCCAGGGUUAGGGCCGGUGUUCUUUGGUUCUAACUGGAAUUAGGGUGGCCUUUCUUGCAGGAGGGAAAGGGUAGCGCCGUUCCCCCAGAGGUCUGCAGGAAGGCAGGUGUCAUGGGGCUGGCUCCAGGUCAGGCAAGUCCCAUGCUGGCUUUUCAAAUGGACUCCCCACCACCACCCCUGGCUCCCUGGGCCUUACUCUUCAUCCCUACUCAGCUCCCGUGGCCUCCUGCAGCUUCUCCUCCCAGAUGGAAGCCUAAUUGUGGUGCUGGGGGUCCUCAGGGCUCUCGUGGUUCACGUGGAGGUGCUAGGAGUGAUUCGUGAGUACUUGGCUCCUGGAUCAAAGUCGAUGUGUGAGCAUUCCUGGGAGCAGCUGUCUUAUUCUAAAUUCCAGAGUGGUAUCAAGCACCCAAGCCUCAUCUACUUUUAUGAUUUUUUUUUUUUUUUUUAGUAAAAAGUGCUACUGAAAAUCUCAGGGUCUGACAUUAAUUUACAAGCUUCCUCUUCUUCAUGUUGGAUGAGAUAGAAUGACUUGUGGAGUUCCCGUCGUGGCGCAGUGGUUAAAGAAUCCGACUAGGAACCAUGAGGUUGCGGGUUCGAUCCCUGCCCUUGCUCAGUGGGUUAACGAUCCGGCGUUGCCGUGAGCUGUGGUGUAGGUUGCAGACACGGCUCGGAUCCAGCGUUGCUGUGGCUCUGGCGUAGGCCGGUGGCUACAGCUCUGAUUCAACCCCUAGCCUGGGAACCUCCAUAUGCCGCGGGAGCGGCCCAAGAAAUAGCAACAAUAACAACAACAACAACAACAACAACAAGGCAAAAGACAAAAAAAAAAAAAAAAAAAAAAAAAAAA
rnacentral:lncRNA from 1 species